CCCGGGUCAGCGCCCGCCCGCCCGCGCUCCUCCCGGCCGCUCCUCCCGCCCCGCCCGGCCCGGCGCCGACUCUGCGGCCGCCCGACGAGCCCCUCGCGGCACUGCCCCGGCCCCGGCCCCGGCCCCGGCCCCCUCCCGCCGCACCGCCCCCGGCCCGGCCCUCCGCCCUCCGCACUCCCGCCUCCCUCCCUCCGCCCGCUCCCGCGCCCUCCUCCCUCCCGCCUCCCCAGCUGUCCCGUUCGCGUCAUGCCGAGCCUCCCGGCCCCGCCGGCCCCGCUGCUGCUCCUCGGGCUGCUGCUGCUCGGCUCCCGGCCGGCCCGCGGCGCCGGCCCCGAGCCCCCCGUGCUGCCCAUCCGUUCUGAGAAGGAGCCGCUGCCCGUUCGGGGAGCGGCAGGCUGCUCCUUCGGCGGGAAGGUCUAUGCCUUGGACGAGACGUGGCACCCGGACCUAGGGGAGCCCUUCGGGGUGAUGCGCUGCGUGCUGUGCGCCUGUGAGGCGCCUCAGUGGGGUCGCCGUACCAGGGGCCCUGGCAGGGUCAGCUGCAAGAACAUCAAACCAGAGUGCCCAACCCCAGCCUGUGGGCAGCCGCGCCAGCUGCCGGGACACUGCUGCCAGACCUGCCCCCAGGAGCGCAGCAGUUCGGAGCGGCAGCCGAGCGGCCUGUCCUUCGAGUAUCCGCGGGACCCGGAGCAUCGCAGUUAUAGCGACCGCGGGGAGCCAGGCGCUGAGGAGCGGGCCCGUGGUGACGGCCACACGGACUUCGUGGCGCUGCUGACAGGGCCGAGGUCGCAGGCGGUGGCACGAGCCCGAGUCUCGCUGCUGCGCUCUAGCCUCCGCUUCUCUAUCUCCUACAGGCGGCUGGACCGCCCUACCAGGGUCCGCUUCUCAGACUCCAAUGGCAGUGUCCUGUUUGAGCACCCUGCAGCCCCCACCCAAGAUGGCCUGGUGAGAUGAUGCCAUUUAUGAGCACUUGUCCAGUCUGGGCACUGUGCUGAGAGCAUGCUCUGCAUUGCCUCCCGUGGUCCUCACCACAGCCCAGUGGGAGGAAGGCACUGACAUUAUGAUGCCCAUUUUACAGAAGGGGGAACUGAGGCUCAGUAGGAUAAUGUGAUUUGUUCAAGGUCACACAGCUAGUAAGUGGUGCAGCCAGGAUUGGAACCCAAGCAUCUGGCUCCAGUGUUCUUUCUUAAGCUUCCUAGGGCACCCUGGAGGUUCCUUUCCAUGUUCCUUUUUCAUAAGCCCUGCCUGGGCAUCCUAAUUGGCCUAGCCUGCACAGUGUUUGAGCGUAGGGCCUUCUUGUCUCUCUGCUCCAGGUCUGUGGGGUGUGGCGGGCAGUGCCUCGGUUGUCUCUGCGGCUCCUUAGGGCAGAACAGCUGCAUGUGGCACUUGUGACACUCACUCACCCUUCAGGGGAGGUCUGGGGGCCUCUCAUCCGGCACCGGGCCCUGGCUGCAGGUAGGGAGCAAAGAGCCCCGGGCGUGAAGUUCUGAGUCUUCUCUAUCACCCAGGAAAGGGGAGGGGGGGUUUCUGACGGGCUCUCAUCAUUGUCCCUUCCCCAGAGACCUUCAGUGCCAUCCUGACUCUAGAAGGCCCCCCACAGCAGGGCGUAGGGGGCAUCACCCUGCUCACUCUCAGUGACACAGAGGACUCCUUGCAUUUUUUGCUGCUCUUCCGAGGGCUGCUGGAACCCAGGAGUGGGGGUAAGUGGGAUGGGGGCAAAACAUGUGAGAAGGUUAGGGAGAGCACCUGUCUCAGAAAGGCCCACAUGUGCGGCCUUGCAGGACUAACCCAGGUUCCCUUGAGGCUCCAGAUUCUACACCAGGGGCAGCUACUGCGAGAACUUCAGGCCAAUGUCUCAGCCCAGGUGAGUGGGGAUCUGGCUCUUGCUGCCACCUGUCUUGGCCUCUUGCUAUUGCCCAUCACACCCUGCUCUGUCCCCAGGAACCAGGCUUUGCUGAGGUGCUGCCCAACCUGACAGUCCAGGAGAUGGACUGGCUGGUGCUGGGGGAGCUGCAGAUGGCCCUGGAGUUGGCAGGCAGGCCAGGGCUGCGCAUCAGUGGACACAUUGCUGCCAGGAAGAGCUGCGAUGGUGAGGCGGGGUGGGGGGGCCUGGUGCGCCGGGCAUGCACAACUGAGAGACACAGACAAGUGCCAGGGUGGGUGUGGGAGAGAUCCUGUGGACUGGGGGUGUAAGCGGCCAUGAGGUAAACCUAGCCUCACCUGUCUUGCCCCUCUGUAGUCCUGCAAAGUGUCCUUUGUGGGGCUGAUGCCCUGAUCCCAGUCCAGACGGGUGCUGCCGGCUCAGCCAGCCUCACGCUGCUAGGAAAUGGCUCCCUGAUCUAUCAGGUGCAAGUGGUAGGGACAAGCAGUGAGGUGGUGGCCAUGACACUGGAGACCAAGCCUCAGCGGAGGGAUCAGCGCACUGUCCUGUGCCACAUGGCUGGACUCCAGCCAGGAGGACACACGGCCGUGGGUAUCUGCCCUGGGCUGGGUGCCCGAGGGGCUCAUAUGCUGCUGCAGAAUGAGCUCUUCCUGAACGUGGGCACCAAGGACUUCCCAGACGGAGAGCUUCGGGGGCACGUGGCUGCCCUGCCCUACUGUGGGCAUAGUGCCCGCCAUGACACGCUGCCCGUGCCCCUAGCAGGAGCCCUGGUGCUACCCCCUGUGAAGAGCCAAGCAGCAGGGCACGCCUGGCUUUCCUUGGAUACCCACUGUCACCUGCACUAUGAAGUGCUGCUGGCUGGGCUUGGUGGCUCAGAACAAGGCACUGUCACUGCCCACCUCCUUGGGCCUCCUGGAACGCCAGGGCCUCGGCGGCUGCUGAAGGGAUUCUAUGGCUCAGAGGCCCAGGGUGUGGUGAAGGACCUGGAGCCGGAGCUGCUGCGGCACCUGGCAAAAGGCAUGGCCUCCCUGCUGAUCACCACCAAGGGUAGCCCCAGAGGGGAGCUCCGAGGGCAGGUAGGUGGCGAGUGUGGGCAGUGGGGGCAGUGGGGAGGGUGCAGAGUUGGAGGGGCACUGUGUGCCAUUGCACUAGUCACUUGCUGCCUCUGAGUCCUGGGGGUGGUCGUAUCAUAGCGCCCCCCCGGCUGGUGGGGAGGAUGAGCUACAUGAGGAGGCUGGCAGCCCAGCACCCUAUCCCUGGCAGCUGAGAUGAUUGUGGAGCGAAUGGCAUCCUCCUGGGCCACUGCAGCGCUCAGGGGGCCGAGGUGUCUCCUGCUGGCUGGCCAGCUGCUGCUGGUAAAGACGCGAGGGGGAGCCCCAGCGCUGCCUCAAUUGGCCUCUCCUCCCAGGUGCACAUAGCCAACCAAUGUGAGGUUGGCGGACUGCGCCUGGAGGCGGCCGGGGCCGAGGGGGUGCGGGCGCUGGGGGCUCCGGAUACAGCCGCUGCUGCACCGCCUGUGGUGCGUGGUCUCCCGGCCCUAGCGCCCGCCAAACCUGGUGGUCCUGGGCGGCCCCGAGACCCCAACACAUGCUUCUUCGAGGGGCAGCAGCGCCCCCACGGGGCUCGCUGGGCGCCCAACUACGACCCGCUCUGCUCACUCUGCACCUGCCAGGUAGGAGGUCUUGGAAGGGCACACUGGGUCCUGGGAUCUGGAGCAAGGGGCCUGGACACUCCCGUCAAUGCCUCUGCUCCUCUCUGCAGAGACGAACGGUGAUCUGUGACCCGGUGGUGUGCCCACCGCCCAGCUGCCCACACCCGGUGCAGGCUCCCGACCAGUGCUGCCCUGUUUGCCCUGAGAAACAAGAUGUCAGAGACUUGCCAGGGCUGCCAAGGAGCCGGGACCCAGGAGAGGGCUGCUAUUUUGAUGGUGACCGGAGCUGGCGGGCAGCGGGUACGCGGUGGCACCCCGUUGUGCCCCCCUUUGGCUUAAUUAAGUGUGCUGUCUGCACCUGCAAGGGGGGCACUGGAGAGGUGCACUGUGAGAAGGUGCAGUGUCCCCGGCUGGCCUGUGCCCAGCCUGUGCGUGUCAACCCCACCGACUGCUGCAAACAGUGUCCAGUGGGGUCGGGGGCCCACCCCCAGCUGGGGGACCCCAUGCAGGCUGAUGGGCCCCGGGGCUGCCGUUUUGCUGGGCAGUGGUUCCCAGAGAGUCAGAGCUGGCACCCCUCAGUGCCCCCUUUUGGAGAGAUGAGCUGUAUCACCUGCCGAUGUGGGGCAGGGGUGCCUCACUGUGAGCGGGAUGACUGUUCACUGCCACUGUCCUGCGGCUCGGGGAAGGAGAGUCGAUGCUGUUCCCGCUGCACGGCCCACCGGCGGCCAGCCCCAGAGACCAGAACUGAUCCAGAGCUGGAGAAAGAAGCCGAAGGCUCUUAGGGAGCAGCCAGAGGGCCACAUGACCAAGAGGAUGGGGCCUGAGCUGGGGAAGGGGUGGCAUCGAGGACCUUCUUGCAUUCUCCUGUGGGAAGCCCAGUGCCUUUGCUCCUCUGUCCUGCCUCUACUCCCACCCCCACUACCUCUGGGAACCACAGCUCCACAAGGGGGAGAGGCAGCUGGGCCAGACCGAGGUCACAGCCACUCCAAGUCCUGCCCUGCCACCCUCGGCCUCUGUCCUGGAAGCCCCACCCCUUUCCUCCUGUACAUAAUGUCACUGGCUUGUUGGGAUUUUUAAUUUAUCUUCACUCAGCACCAAGGGCCCCCGACACUCCACUCCUGCUGCCCCUGAGCUGAGCAGAGUCAUUAUUGGAGAGUUUUGUAUUUAUUAAAACAUUUCUUUUUCAGUC
rnacentral:sRNA from 1 species